GACGAACGCUGGCGGCGUGCUUAACACAUGCAAGUCGAACGGAAAGGCCCUGCUUUUGUGGGGUGCUCGAGUGGCGAACGGGUGAGUAACACGUGAGUAACCUGCCCUUGACUUUUGGAUAACUUCAGGAAACUGGGGCUAAUACCGGAUAGGAGCUCCUGCUGCAUGGUGGGGGUUGGAAAGUUUCGGCGGUUGGGGAUGGACUCGCGGCUUAUCAGCUUGUUGGUGGGGUAGUGGCUUACCAAGGCUUUGACGGGUAGCCGGCCUGCGAGGGUGACCGGCCACAUUGGGACUGAGAUACGGCCCAGACUCCUACGGGAGGCAGCAGUGGGGAAUAUUGCACAAUGGGCGGAAGCCUGAUGCAGCAACGCCGCGUGCGGGAUGACGGCCUUCGGGUUGUAAACCGCUUUCGCCUGUGACGAAGCGUGAGUGACGGUAAUGGGUAAAGAAGCACCGGCUAACUACGUG
rnacentral:rRNA from 1 species